UGCCGAUCAUAUUCCUGGGACUCCCAGGAAAUCCAGGGGCUCGUCUCCGCCACGUGCCAAGCAGAAACAACUGCUGCACAUAAUUAAAAGAGUGUAAAAGUGAGGCAGCUGCUGUCAAAUGUGCCGCGCGUAGAAUUAGCUUCCCACUUUCCAUUAAUGGAAGCGGGGACGGGCCGGGCCCUGUCCUUGCGGUCGUGCGUCUGGGCAUCUGGGCCUCGGACGGGUGCCAGCGAGGGCGAGCGAGCGAGAGAGAGAGGAGCAGACAAAGACACGCUCCACAGAAGGGUGAGGUUGACUCCGGGUCACAGAGGCGGCCUGGCCUUAUGGCUGACAGAUGUUAGUCUGGUUCAACAAGAGUUGGGAUGCUGGAAAAAGUUACACCACACUCGGUUCCACAUUGCAAUUAUCUUCUCUGUGUAAAGAAACAUCUCGUAUAUCACCGCUCAACAAGACAUAAGCAAAAGCCACUCCCUGGAUCAGGAGGCCUUUGAUAAACCAUGGCACUUCAACGCGCUGCCUAAUUGUAUGGCACUAAAAUGUUUCGCUGUUGCAGCUAGUGGGCCUGUUAGCAGCAUUCCCAAGCGGCACCACAGUGUAUUUUUUUUACUGUGGAGAGCUCAUCAGCCGGCAGUGAUUGUGCUAAUGCUGCUAAUGAUCCCCAGGAGACAUCAACGCAGACCGGAACCGAGCCUGUUCAUUUACAGGAAGGUUCAGUGCAAGUGUCUGGAGGGAGUCAAGGAUGAGACCUGUCUCCAGACGCUCCCCUGUCGCCCCAUGGGAGGGGUCACGCUGUGCACAGGAUUCCUCAAGAGCUGA
rnacentral:lncRNA from 1 species